GACGAACGCUGGCGGCGUGCCUAACACAUGCAAGUCGAGCGGAGUUGACAAGAGGAAGUUUUCGGAUGGAAUCUUGCCAGCUUAGCGGCGGACGGGUGAGUAACGCGUGAGCGACCAACCUUGCACAGGGGGAUAACGGACCGAAAGGUUCACUACUACCGCAUGAGACCACGGUGUUGCCUGACACAGGGGCCAAAGGCGGAAUCCGGUGCAAGACGGGCUCGCGCGCGAUUAGGUAGUUGGAGGGGUAACGGCCCACCAAGACUAUGAUCGGUAGCCGACCUGAGAGGGUGAUCGGCCACAUUGGAACUGAGAUACGGUCCAAACUCCUACGGGAGGCAGCAGUGGGGAAUAUUGGGCAAUGGGGGAAACCCUGACCCAGCAACGCCGCGUGAAGGAAGAAGGUUUUCGGAUUGUAAACUUCUGUCCUUGGUGAAGAGAAGAAGACGGUAGCCAAGGAGGAAGCCCCGGCUAACUACGUGCCAGCAGCCGCCGUAA
rnacentral:rRNA from 1 species